rnacentral:lncRNA from 1 species
UUCCUCCACAAAGCUUCCAGACAGAGUAUCCAUCAGAUAUUUAAACCACUCUGGUCCCGUGGUUGAGGGGCAUCAGUACUCUCUGCAUUGUGUUGUCCAGAACACCGCUCCUAUUGAGCACCUCAGAGUGACCUUCUUCAAAGUCUCUACCAAUGGUGAACAGACAGUGUUAUACACACAACAACUGAACAAUGACAUUAGGGAACCAGUGAAUGGGAGCUUUUCCCUGCAGUUCUCCCCCACUAGUGUUGAUGACGGGGCCCAGUUGUUGUGUUCAGCCAUGUUGGAUCUGGGACCACAGGGACCCCAACCUCCUCCUGUAAUGGAAUCAGAAUGCCUCAACACCACCGUGCACUUCGCUCCUGAGUUCUGCUGUUCUGCCAAGCUGCAGGUGCGAGCGGGGGAGGGGCUAACUUGUGAUGUCAGAGGCAAUCCCCUCCCAUCGGUCACCUGGCUGAGAGACGGAAAGAUGCUGACCCCGCCCACACACCUGAGCAGAGAGGAUGCUGGGAAUUACACCCUCAUGGCUUUGAACCGUAUUGGAAAAGCCAAUCACACAGUGGAGGUGGAGGUCCUACAUGACUGUGCUGCUAGAGGAGCUUCCUGUCAGGCUGCUGGGAGUGCCACGGUGGCUCUGCUGCUCCACCAGCUCAUUCAUUGGCUAUAUUGAAUGAUUAUUUUAUUGAUUGAAUGGUUGAAUGAUUAAUUGACUAAUCAGGACAUCAAUCUCUGUGCUGGAGCUUUGUGAUUUGACAGUGAUCUGUGAGGGCAGUCUUCAAUAGAUCUGGAAUCAGAUCUGAGUUAGUAGAAAACCCUUUUUUCCUAAAUGUGAAAUUAGCUGUUUUGAAAUGUGUUAUUUUGAAGUAGUGCUAUUGAACAGGUCUAUAAUUAAGCAAUAAGGCCCAGGGGGUGGUAUAUGGCCAAUAUACCACGGCUAAGGGCUGUUCUUAUGCACGACACAACGGUAUAAAUGUUUAUUUCAAACCCUAACCUUAAAUGUUUAUCACUAAUAAACUAUAUAUGUUUAGGCUUAAUCCUAACCCUAAGUGUUUAUUACUAAUAAACUAUAUAAAUGUUUAGGCCUAAUCCUAACCCUAAAUGUUUAUUACUAAUAAACUAUAUAAAUGUUUUGGCCUAAUCCUAACCCAGUCUCUAGCAACAGAUCUGCCAUUAUCCUUUUUGCAAUGUUGUCAAUGUCUUUUGUGACUAAUAAAAGUUGAC